GACGAACGCUGGCGGCGUGCUUAACACAUGCAAGUCGAACGGAAAGGCCCUGCUUUUGUGGGGUGCUCGAGUGGCGAACGGGUGAGUAACACGAGAGUAACCUGCCCUUGACUUUGGGAUAACUUCAGGCAACUGGGGCUAAUACCGGAUAGUAGCUCCUGCUGCAUGGUGGGGGAUGGAAAGUUUCGGGGGUGGGGGAUGGACUCGCGGCUUAUCAGCUUGUUGGUGGGGUAGCGGAUUACCAAGGCUUUGGCGGGUAGCCGGCCUGAGAGGGUGAGCGGCCACAUUGGGACUGAGAUACGGCCCAGACUCCUACGGGAGGCAGCAGUGGGGAAUAUUGCACAAUGGGCGGAAGACUGAUGCAGCAACGCCGCGUGCGGGAUGACGGCCUUCGGGUUGUAAACCGCUUUCGCCUGUGACGAAGCGUGAGUGACGGUAAUGGGUAAAGAAGCACCGGCUAACUACGUG
rnacentral:rRNA from 1 species